rnacentral:rRNA from 1 species
GCUGUUAAGGGUUCGUAGUUGAACUGUGGGGUAAGAAACCAGGGUCACGCCCUUUGCCCCGGCUAAGGAAAGCCCCGAGCUUACUCCGAGAACAGUCAGAAACUAAGAUCACGGAAGUGUUUCCCGCCCCUUCGCGAGCAAUGCACGCAGGCGGGCGUCCGUGUUCAUUACUGUGACUAAGAAGUGCGACCUAAGCAGUCCAUCGACAUGAAUUAGAAAGCAUGGGAUAACAAAGGGCAUCCUACAGACUACCGUUUAGGCUUUUGUUGGUUUUAAAGGUCAGUGGGAGAUUACGGGUGGGUGGACCGGCGUCGGCGAGUUCAUACUCCCGCGCUUCCCCUUCAUGUCGGCUUGCCGGUGUGGGUGGGGCCUGCCUUUCUCGGAAUGAAAGAGGGUUGCUCGGGGAAGAACGUCUUGAGCGUGAGAGGUGAAAUUCUUAGACCGCUCAAAGACGAACUACAGCGAAGGCAUUCUUCAGGAUACCUCCCUCAAUCAAGAACCAAAGUGUGGGGAUCGAAGAUGAUUAGAUACCUUGUAGUCCGU